UACGUAGGUGGCAAGCGUUGUCCGGAAUUAUUGGGCGUAAAGCGCGCGCAGGCGGUCCUUUAAGUCUGAUGUGAAAGCCCACGGCUCAACCGUGGAGGGUCAUUGGAAACUGGGGGACUUGAGUGCAGAAGAGGAGAGCGGAAUUCCGCGUGUAGCGGUGAAAUGCGUAGAGAUGUGGAGGAACACCAGUGGCGAAGGCGGCUCUCUGGUCUGUAACUGACGCUGAGGCGCGAAAGCGUGGGGAGCAAACAGG
rnacentral:rRNA from 1 species